GGCCUGAUCCUGGCUCAGAUUGAACGCUGGCGGGAUGCUUUACACAUGCAAGUCGAACGGCAGCACGGACUUCGGUCUGGUGGCGAGUGGCGAACGGGUGAGUAAUGUAUCGGAACGUGCCUAGUAGCGGGGAUAACUACGCGAAAGCGUAGCUAAUACCGCAUACGCCCUUCGGGGGAAAGCGGGGGGACCUUCGGGCCUCGCACUAUUAGAGCGGCCGAUAUCGGAUUAGCUAGUUGGUGGGGUAACGGCUCACCAAGGCGACGAUCCGUAGCUGGUUUGAGAGGACGACCAGCCACACUGGGACUGAGACACGGCCCAGACUCCUACGGGAGGCAGCAGCGGGGAAUUUUUGGACAAUGGGGGAAACCCUGGAUCCAGCCAUCCCGCGUGUGCGAUGAAGGCCUUCGGGUUGUAAAGCACUUUUGGCAGGAAAGAAACGGCACGGGAUAAUACCCGUGCAACUGACGGUACCUGCGAAUAAGCACCGGCUAACUACGCCAGCAGCCGCGGUAAUACGUAGGGUGCAAGCGUUAAUCGGAAUUACUGGGCGUAAAGCGCGGUGGCGCGUCUGGAAAGAAAGAUGAAAUCCCAGAGCUUAACUUUGGAACUGCAUUUUUAACUACCGAGCUAGGAGUGUGUCAGAGGGAGGUGGAAUUCCGCG
rnacentral:misc_RNA from 1 species